GACGAACGCUGGCGGCGUGCUUAACACAUGCAAGUCGAACGGAAAGGCCCUGCUUUUGUGGGGUGCUCGAGUGGCGAACGGGUGUGUAUCACGUGAGUAACCUGCCCUUGACUUUGGGAGACCUUCAGGAAACUGGGGCUAAUACCGGAUAUGAGCUCCUGCUGCAUGGUGGGGGUUGGAAAGUUUCGGCGGUUGGGGAUGGACUCGCGGCUUAUCAGCUUGUUGGUGGGGUAGUGGCUUACCAAGGCUCUGACGGGUAGCCGGCUUGAGAGGGUGACAGGCCACAUUGGGACUGAGAAGGGGCCAAGACUGCAACGGGAGGCAGCAGUGGAGAAUAGUGCACAAUGGGCGGAAGCCUGAUGCAGCAACGCCGCGUGCGGGAUGACGGCCUGCGGGGUGUAAACCGGUUGCGCGUGGGAAGAAGCGUGAGUGACGGUAAUGGGUAAAGAAGCACCGGCUAACUACGUG
rnacentral:rRNA from 1 species